rnacentral:ncRNA from 1 species
AGGUAGAGGCGCUGUACUUAUUAGUACUUGAGGAUGGCUGGCAAGUAAUGAUUCUCAAGGAAAGGAAUUAUAGCCGAAGAAAAUUCAUAGGCAUAUGGGUUUUCUGGACUUAUGUUUAAUAGGCAUAAGGCUGUCACUUUUCAAAGUGUUGAGCUACAA